CAGUAGUCACGAGUUGAUCAUGGCUCAGAACGAACGCUGGCGGCGCGCCUAACACAUGCAAGUCGAACGAGAAUCCGGGGCAACCCGGUAGUAAAGUGGCAAACGGGUGAGGAAUACAUGGGUAACCUACCCUUGAGAAGGGAAUAACCCGCCGAAAGGUGAGCUAAUACCCUAUACGCUAUCUUUUUUUCGAAAAGGAUAGGAAAGCCGGGUCGAGGACCUGGUACUCAAGGAGGGGCUCAUGUCCUAUCAGCUUGUUGGUGGGGUAACGGCCUACCAAGGCUACGACGGGUAGCUGGUCUGAGAGGAUGAUCAGCCACACUGGCACUGAGAUACGGGCCAGACUCCUACGGGAGGCAGCAGUGAGGAAUAUUGCGCAAUGGGCGAAAGCCUGACGCAGCGACGCCGCGUGGGGGAUGAAGGUUUUCGGAUUGUAAACCCUUUCAUGAGGAAAGAUAAAGUGGGUAACCACUUAGACGGUACCUCAAGAAGAAGCCACGGCUAACUUCGUG
rnacentral:rRNA from 1 species